UGAUGUAGAAAGCUGUCAACAUCCAAUACUGACAGGAAAAAAAUCUUCAUAACCAAACCUGUUUUAUAGGAUUUCCCCUCUGCAGAAUCCUCGUUGGUUUCAGCUGGAGGUCACAAACAGAUGAGGACCGGACUUUCUCUUUAAGGAGUAUUUAUUAGACUCAGAAUACUUCUACAUCUUCCUGGUCCUUAAGGAGUAAAACAGUCCCACAUCAUCACAUUACCACCACCAUGUUUUACUGCUGAUAUGAUUUUUUUUUUUCUGAAAUGUGGGGUUAGUAUUAUACCAGGUGUAAUGGGACACACACCUUUCAUAUUCAGCUUUUGUCAUGUAAGCCAACAAAAUGUUUUCCUCAUAGUGUUAAGAAUCUGUAGCAGUCUAUUGGAAUUAACAGCCAGAUGCAGGGAUUUCCAAACGGGUGCGGUUUAAUCUUGACUUUUCCUGUCAAAGACACAGUGAAAUCUGUAGCAUGAAAUACUGAAAUAAUGAAAGAAUAUGUAAUUGUUGGACAUGCUUAACCAUUGUUUAAAAUUAAAACAUUAAUGUUCACACAUACAACAAAAAAGGAUUUUUAUUGUCCUUAACUCGUCAGCAGUUUUGUUUUUUAAAUAAAAAACAAAUGAUGUUCUACUGCUUCAAAAAUAAAUGAAUAACAUUAAUUAUCACAAAUCACAAUGGUGCAUAUUCAUACCUCAUUCUGCUUUACAAAGUCUCUAUUUUAACAGUUUUUUUCUGGUUCCUUCAGGAUCUAUCGCUGUCUCAAUAUGCUUAGCAAGAACAGGAAGUGCAGUAAAUCACAAAACACAAGUAAAAGAAAUCUACCCUUCUUCAAAAUAAAGCAUAAAUUAACCACUAGGUGUAACUGCUGGGCCAAUGAACACGAAGGAGAAUUUUAUCAUUUAGUUAUUUACAGAAUCAUGGAGAUUUAUUCUGGAAAAUUUUGAGAUGAGCCUUAAUGUUUUUUGCUCUGCAGUGGUUUUAGUUUUGGACCUCCGCCAUUUUUGCUCAGUCUUUUUCCCACGGUGGACGCUUGAACUCUGAACUUAACUGAGGUUAGUGAGGCUUGCAGUUCUUUAGAUGAUGAUGUGGGGUCUUUGGGUCCUAUUGGAUGCUCUGUUCUUUGGGUAUUUUGGUCAGUAAGCUCCUACUAAAAUGUUCACCACUGUUCACGAUGCUGUAUGCUGGAGACCCGAAGCUUUAAAAACGGCUUUGUAAUCCUUUUCCAGACUGACAGAUCACAAUUAUUUUAUUUCUUAUUUGUUUUCAAUUUUCUCAGGAUCUUGGCAUGAUGUCCAGCUUCUAAAGUGCUCUUCUUUGUGUCAGACAUGUCCUUCUUAGUUGAUUUCUAGAUUGAGAGGAAUGUGGCUGUAAUUAGUCCUGGGUGUAGCUAGAGAAAGUGGGCCAAGGGGCAUAAGGUUAUGUUCACCUUUACAAUAAAAACAUUAAUUUCAUUUAAAACUGCA